UGGGACCAUAGAAACUAAACGGAAGUUUACCGUCGCGAGCUCGGCUAAAAGGCAAAGCUACGAUUUACAAGUAUUUUUAAAAAACAUUUAAACUACCCUACCGCUUCAAAUGUAAUCUUAAAUUAACAUGUAGGCGUAUAUCUCAAACAGACGACUGACAAGCUAACGCGCAGUUGUGGCUUUAAUCGCAGUUAGCUUGACGUCUAAUGGUGCUACAGCCUUAUCACUACAAUGUACAAAGCUAAAAUACUCCUAAUUGGUCCAAAUGAGAGUGGGAAAACGGUCCUUGCAAAUUUUCUCGCAGACGCAACAGAAAACGUGGGGGGCGAAUACAGACCCACUCAAGCAGUCAGGAUACUAGAAUUUGAAUCACAACUGGAUGCCAGUGCUGACGUGAAAUCAUGCGAGGUUGAGAUCUGGGACUGUUCUGGUGACUUCAAGUUUGAGUCAUGCUGGCCUGCGCUCACCAAGGACUGCAGUGGGGUGGUGAUCAUUUUUAAUCCCGACGUUCCCAGUCACUUGAAAGAAAUUGAAACCUGGCACUCGAUGUUCAUCUCCUCGCAGGGCUUGCUAGACAGCCAGUGUCUGCUCAUUGCACAUCACAAGCCCGGAAGCGCAGUUGAAGAAGGUCGACUGCCUUUAGCAUCACAGCUGAGCAAACUUACACUUAUUCACUCUGAAAUGGAGGAAGAGCCCGAGGACCUGAGGCGAGCUUUCUGCAGAUACCUGGGAAAAGUAGUAAAUGCACUUUCGGAAAGCCGGGAGCAGGAGGAGAUGUCCAUCAUCACAUAGCGCCAAAACCUCUUAAAUAUGAGCAGCAAGGAACUGCCAAAAGCAACAACUUCAGAAGAAUUCCCUUCAAAAGUAAUAAGGCUACAACCUAACAAGUAAACAACCGACCCUACAGGACCUCUCCACCUAUAACCCUCGUUGAUGCCCGGAUAUCUCAACUUUGGUUUCAUCUGACCUUAUCGCAAGCCCUCUCCGACUCAUGUAGAUGUUCACUGGCAAGCUUAAGGCGUGUGUGUGCCUUCCUGAACAGCCACUGCAAGAUUUCAUUGUAAUAUGGCGCAGUGUGUUGUUACCAAAGGUUUUCUUGAUGGUUGACAUUCAAUUUGCCUUCAGAUAAUUGCCAGGUUCCAGCUGUGUACUUUGAGUCGGUUCUCUUACCUUUUUCAUGAUCAUCCUCACUCCAUGAGGCAAGAUCUUGCAUGAAGCGCCAUACUGGGAGCAAUCAGUGGUCAUUUUUUAAAAUGUUUUUUAUGUCUUCCACUUUGGAAUAAUGGUGCCAAUAGUUGUAACAUUCUCACCAAGCCUUUUCCUGAUGUUUUUUUGUAACCCAGUCCAAUCUUGUCCCUGUCAUCUUUUCGACAGCUCUCUUGUCUUGCCCGUGGUGGUAUCAUGAUUGGAAAGUAAGACAUUCUACAGUAUAAUAGGUGUGCUUAAUAUUGGAGUUGAGAUCAUAAGUGUUCUUACCAGCCAAUUUGUGAGGGCCAUAAUUUUGGUUGGGUUGUUAUUUCACCCAA